UACGGGGGGAGCAAGCGUUGUUCGGAUUUACUGGGCGUAAAGGGCGCGUAGGCGGCCACGACAAGUCACUUGUGAAAUCCCUGGGCUUAACCUAGGAACUGCAUUGAAAACUGAAUAACUGGAGUACUGUAGAGGGUAGUGGAAUUUCCGGUGUAGCGGUGAAAUGCGUAGAGAUCGGAAGGAACACCAGUGGCGAAGGCGGCUACCUGGGCAGAUACUGACGCUGAGGCGCGAGAGCGUGGGGAGCAAACAGG
rnacentral:rRNA from 1 species